CUGUGAAUAUUCUCCCUGUUUUGAUUUUGUAAUAAUCAGGACAGGUUAAACAUUCACCAUAUUGAGACCAUGCAUCUGUCCCAAGACAUAGUUCUUUCCCUAUGUGUGGUUUUAUAAAUGAGGGCAAUAAGC
ensembl:snoRNA SNORA72 Small nucleolar RNA SNORA72